AUACGGAGGGGGCUAGCGUUGUUCGGAAUUACUGGGCGUAAAGCGCACGUAGGCGGAUUAAAAAGUUAGAGGUGAAAUCCCAGGGCUUAACCCUGGAACUGCCUUUAAAACUAGUAGUCUAGAGUUCGAGAGAGGUGAGUGGAAUUCCAAGUGUAGAGGUGAAAUUCGUAGAUAUUUGGAGGAACACCAGUGGCGAAGGCGGCUCACUGGCUCGAUACUGACGCUGAGGUGCGAAAGCGUGGGGAGCAAACAGGAUUAGAUACCCCAGUAGUCC
rnacentral:rRNA from 1 species